rnacentral:lncRNA from 1 species
UGUUCCUGUUUUCAUGUUGUACUCUUCUUUGUGUCUCUGUGUGUCCUCUGCUAUCUUUUAGGAAGAUUUUGUCUUUGAACGUAGGCCAUCCCUGAUGUAGUGUGACCUCAUGCUGAUCCUUACCUUCAUUACAUUGCAGUGACUAUUUCAGUAAAGAGCAUGUUCUUUGUUUUCAGGUAGACAGAUAAUUGUAUGUGGGAACAGGACACUACACAACCCACUACAGUCUCUUUUUAGGAAUCUUGAAACCAUGGAUCAUCCACAUGUAUUUUGCAACAUGCUUUAGAUUUUUUCCUGGAAAUCCUACAAGGACCCUAAAAAUUGAAUAUAUUGUACAACACAUGUAUGGCCAAUGGU